rnacentral:rRNA from 1 species
GCUGGCGGCAGGCCUAACACAUGCAAGUCGAACGGAGUUAUAUUGUAGCUUGCUAUGGUAUAACUUAGUGGCAGACGGGUGAGUAAUGUAUAGGAAUCUACCUAGUAGUACGGAAUAAUUGUUGGAAACGGCAACUAAUACCGUAUACGCCCUACGGGGGAAAAAUUUAUUGCUAUUAGAUGAGCCUAUAUUAGAUUAGCUAGUUGGUGGAGUAAUAGCCUACCAAGGCAAUGAUCUAUAGCUGAUCUGAGAGGAUGAUCAGCCACACUGGAACUGAGAUACGGUCCAGACUCCUACGGGAGGCAGCAGUGGGGAAUAUUGGACAAUGGGCGAAAGCCUGAUCCAGCCAUGCCGCAUGAGUGAAGAAGGCCUUUGGGUUGUAAAGCUCUUUUAGUGAGGAAGAUAAUGACGGUACUCACAGAAGAAGUCCUGGCUAACUCCGUGCCAGCAGCCGCGGUAAUACGGAGAGGGCUAGCGUUAUUCGGAAUUAUUGGGCGUAAAGGGCGCGUAGGCGGAUUAGUAAGUUAAAAGUGAAAUCCCAAGGCUCAACCUUGGAAUUGCUUUUAAAACUGCUAAUCUAGAGAUUGAAAGAGGAUAGAGGAAUUCCUAGUGUAGAGGUGAAAUUCGUAAAUAUUAGGAGGAACACCAGUGGCGAAGGCGUCUAUCUGGUUCAAAUCUGACGCUGAGGCGCGAAGGCGUGGGGAGCAAACAGGAUUAGAUACCCUGGUAGUCCACGCUGUAAACGAUGAAUGUUAAAUAUGGGAAGUUUUACUUUCUGUAUUACAGCUAACGCGUUAAACAUUCCGCCUGGGGACUACGGUCGCAAGAUUAAAACUC